CCUACGGGAGGCUGCAGUGGGGAAUAUUGGACAAUGGGCGAAAGCCUGAUCCAGCCAUGCCGCGUGUGUGAAGAAGGCCUUCGGGUUGUAAAGCACUUUCAGUGGGGAAGAAAGCCUUGGGGCUAAUACCCUCGAGGAAGGACAUCACCCACAGAAGAAGCACCGGCUAACUCCGUGCCAGCAGCCGCGGUAAUACGGAGGGUGCGAGCGUUAAUCGGAAUUACUGGGCGUAAAGCGCGCGUAGGCGGUCUGAUAAGCCGGUUGUGAAAGCCCCGGGCUCAACCUGGGAACGGCAUACGGAACUGUCCGGCUAGAGUGCAGGAGAGGAAGGUAGAAUUCCCGGUGUAGCGGUGAAAUGCGUAGAGAUCGGGAGGAAUACCAGUGGCGAAGGCGGCCUUCUGGACUGACACUGACGCUGAGGUGCGAAAGCGUGGGUAGCAAACAGGAUUAGAUACCCCAGUAGUC
rnacentral:rRNA from 1 species